UGGGGAAUUUUGCGCAAUGGGCGAAAGCCUGACGCAGCAACGCCGCGUGGGUGAUGAAGGCCCUCGGGUCGUAAAGCCCUGUCGGGUGGGACGAACGCCGCACUGGAAAAUAUCCAAUGCGGAUGACGGUACCACCAAAGGAAGCACCGGCCAACUCCGUGCCAGCAGCCGCGGUAAUACGGAGGGUGCAAGCGUUGUUCGGAAUCACUGGGCGUAAAGGGCGAGCAGGCGGCCGGCCAAGUCGGGCGUGAAAGCCCUCGGCUCAACCGAGGAAGUGCGUUCGAAACUAGCCGGCUAGAGUACCGGAGAGGGAGGUGGAAUUCCCGGUGUAGAGGUGAAAUUCGUAGAUAUCGGGAGGAACACCGGUGGCGAAGGCGGCCUCCUGGACGGAUACUGACGCUAAACCGCGAAAGCGUGGGGAGCAAACAGG
rnacentral:rRNA from 1 species